rnacentral:rRNA from 1 species
GACGAACGCUGGCGGCGUGCUUAACACAUGCAAGUCGAACGGAAAGGCCCUGCUUUUGUGGGGUGCUCGAGUGGCGAACGGGUGAGUAACACGUGAGUAACCUGCCCUUGACUUUGGGAUAACUUCGGGAAACUGGGGCUAAUACCGGAUAGGAGCUCCUGCUGCAUGGUGGGGGUUGGAAAGUUUCGGCGGUUGGGGAUGGACUCGCGGCUUAUCAGCUUGUUGGUGGGGUAGUGGCUUACCAAGGCUUUGACGGGUAGCCGGCCUGAGAGGGUGACCGGCCACAUUGGGACUGAGAUACGGCCCAGACUCCUACGGGAGGCAGCAGUGGGGAAUAUUGCACAUUGGGCGGAAGCCUGAUGCAGCAACGCCGCGUGCGGGAUGACGGCCUUCGGGUUGUAAACCGCUUUCGCCUGUGACGAAGCGUGAGUGACGGUAAUGGGUAAAGAAGCACCGGCUAACUACGUG